UUCACUGGGCUCUGAAGCACUCAUUUAGUACACUGAGAAAGGAGAGGGAGGGGGGAUGGGAGGAGGGGAGGAGCAGAGAAAGGAGAGGAGGCGGAGACGGUUAGUCUAGCCUCUCUGUGGGGCCUCUCUGCUGGUACCCAGAUGCUGAGCGCUGAAAUUCUCAUCCGCCACACACAACAUGGCGGCUUCCUGGACCCGCGCCCAAUUUUCGCUUCCGGGAUGGAAGCUACGUCAUUUCCCCCUCUGUUGCCCUAGCGCCCCUUGGAAGCCAAGAAUAUGAGGAAGUCUUCUUCCUUCGCGCCUUCUUCUUCCUUACGCUCCAGGGCAGCCUGACAGAGCCGCUCGAAGGCUCUGCUGGCCGCGGCUAGCCGGGUGCAGCAGAAGUCUCAGGUAGCUGAGAAGUUCAUGGAAUCUUCUUAUUUGCUACACCUUUCACUACUGCUUGUGAUAUAGUGCAGGGUUGGGAUGUGCAGACAUUUCUCAAGUGCACUGUGUACCUACACAGCAUGCUGCAAUUUGGCUACUGAAGUCAAGAGAAACUGGUUUGAACAACUACUGAGUGUAACAUAGGAAGCGCAUUUCAUUUGAUAACAGGAACACAGCUUUUGUGCUAAUAAAAUGCUUUGAAAAUUAGUGUGUGGUCUUUAGUAAUUAGCAUAUACAUUUUAGUUAUCCAUUGGUUCAUAACAAACGGACUAAAUAGGUACCCCACUGAGUCAUUUAUCUAAAUGAAAAGUUUGGUUAAAUUGUAGUUGUAGGCAUUGAUCAAAGCUAAUGGGAAAAAGAGAUUAAGAUGAAAAUCAUGGGAUUAAAUUUUUAAUUAGUUUG
rnacentral:lncRNA from 10 species